UUCGGAUGUGAUACGAAAUUCUCCACCUUCGCAAUGAUCAUUUUGCAAUUAGACGAGCAACCGAUGCUCAUCCAAGCCGUUUUCGGCGAAAUAGACACGGUUAGGAAACUGUUCGAAUCAAAAAGAUCAAACUGGACAAUUAAAAUACAUACAUUAAUAAAAAAUUUGAAGAAUAUAAAAGGAUGUAUGAUGAAGAAAAAUUGUGACAGUUAAGGUAGGAUCUUUUUAGAGCUAAAGAUAGAUUUGAGGAGUUAGAAAAACAGAACUGAGAGUAAAUCCGCUUUUAACAAACAAAUUAGGGAGUGGGGAAAUAUUUUAAAAUGGAAAUUUUAUGGAUUGAAGGUAAUAAGCAUCGUAAGUGUUAAAAUUAUUAUUUUUUUUUAUACAAAAAUUGUAUUUUGUUAUAAAAUUUAUAAUAUAAAA